UUUGCUUCUCUGCCUUUUGGCUAAGAUCAAGUGUAGUAUCAUGUUCAGAGAAACACUUGAUCCUCUGGCCAAAGGGCUAAAGCGGGAUGGAAGUUGAUGUGCCCCCUACGGGGAGUGCCUAAUUCACUAUGGGGAUCAUGCAAUCAGCACAUGCACUUUAUGCUUUUAAUCCUGUUCUAAA
rnacentral:snRNA from 1 species